CCUGCAGUAAGAAAGGCGCGCGUAGUUGGUGCUGUUUGUUCCAUCACCAUGACUGCAUUCUUUAAUAGAGCUCAACCAGCACAGCAAAUCUUGGAAAUGGCUUUUGGUUUUCCACAGUGUGCUGUGAUGUCACUCGGGCAGCUGGUUCCUCGCAAAGACAGCAAAAGGCUUUGUGAGGCUGUGCAUUUCGGACUGGACCCGUGGAAGCUGCCCUAGGGCCCAGUCAGGACAGGAAUGUCAGUACUGCUCAGGAGGCCCACCUCAGCCCAGCAGGGUAUCUCUUUCCUUGUUUAGAUUAUCAACAGAAGCCAAGGUGUGGGCUUUUUAUCUUCUCAUUUGUAUCUUGACAUUUAAUAUCAUUGUUCAGUCUUCACUGCUCUGGUCGUUGUGGCAGAAAUUAAAUGUGGACUUCAUGAAAUUGCAGAUUUGAUGAGAUGUUCACUGCUAAACUGAAAAAUGGAUUAAACAUGUUAUUCUUAGGAUCCAAAGGCAUCUGCAGUGGUGAGCGGAUUGUUCUGAGCUCAUGUGCCAGGCAGGGCAGCACUCAGGAGCAGUUAUUGCUUUGCUGUGCACUGAGCAGUGUCACGAUAUUCUGAAAUCAAGAAGUGGACGGUCCUGCUUGUAAGUGGUGACAAGAAAUUUGCCAGAGCAAUACCUUCUGUCUGCAUGUUAGUGAUGACAUCACAUGUUUUAUAGGUCUAGGAUGUGUGAAGUGGGGUCUGCAGUCCAAGAAGGUCUGAGGGAAGGGCAAAUGUGCUUUUUUGAAAAUCUCUGCCUUUUCUAAGUGGCCUCUCUCACCUUUACAUGGAGGAGAGACCCUACCUGCUGCCUGGCCUGCCUGGCCUGUGCCCUCCCCUCAAGAGGGACCUGCAGCUGGUCACCCAGGCCUUCAGCUCCAACUUGACAGGGUCUUAGAGGCCCUGAGGAGAGUGUGCACCUUUGACAUAAAAGUGCACUCAGUAAAAAGCCCAUACGGUAGAGACCUACGCGGUAGGGUAUCCCUCAGCAGGGGUUUGUCCGAUGGCUCCCUAGGGAUGGAACUACGUGUUUUGAGAGAGAGACCCCGGAGAACCCCCUUCUCAUCUCAUUCUCCCUGUCAGAGGCACAUGCUGGAACUAGCACAGCCUGCUCCUGAUGUUCACUGGCUGGGGCAGGGCCUGUCAGGUCUCCCACUUCUCACAUUGUGAGCCCCUCUCCUCCCCCACACUUCAGGGCGAGGGGUGCAUCAUCACCAUUGGUCUUCUAACAUGGGAGUGAUCUUUCACCCAGUUUAGUCAAUGAGUUUUUAUGCCAGCAAGGACUUAUGAAUGUUUAUUUUAUGCUUCAGGUGCAGCACAAUAUUAAGUUCGUUAUUUUGCCGUUCGACUUUGGCUGGUGACAGCUUUCAUUUGGCUCCUUUCCAUUUUCAGAUCCCCCCCGGCCCCACACUUUCUGUCUGCCACUGUAAGCUGCUCCAGGCUCAUCCAGCCCACUCUCCACCCUGGAAUCAGCUGGUCUGUAGAGCCCUGCACUGCCGCACCACUGUACCUGCUCUUCUCCAUCUUCUUACUUGACCAAGAUAACUUGCUGAGAGACUCCCUGGCUGUGAUUUCCAGCAUAAUGCAUUCUGGAGUCGUAGCAGUACUUCAAAGGUUUCUUCACUAAUGUACCAGUAACUUCUUCAGGUCAAUAUACGUUCGUGGGUGGCAUUUUUGUGUCUUUAAAGGAAGGUGCUGUGCUGACUUAGUGUGACUCUUCCUUCUGGUUAUAGAAGAGUGUAUCUUCUAUCACACGCGAUAUCACUUCACAACACAACGGUGAAUGAGACAGAACAGCAACUAUUCUGCAGGGGUUGGGGUGAGGUGGAGAUUCUGGGGGAAGCCUCAGUGCCUGGCUGUGGAGCACAGUGGCUGGAGCAUCCGGGAAUGGCAGGUGGCUGCUGGGUGAACAUGGUGUGUGGGUGAGUGUGUGUAAGGAGACAGGCUGAUGACUGCAGGGGAGAAUCCGUCCUGAGGGACAGAAAUCUGGGAUCAGAACACCAGUUGCAAGUCAGUACUGAGACUCACUAGGACAUGAGGACCCUGGAUGGGCAGCAGUUGGCUGAAACUGAACAUGGAGACAUUCAUGAACUUUGUGCUCAUUAAGAGCAAGUGUGUUCUGACUGCUUGUGGUAGCUCCAAUGUUCUUCCCAAAACUCACUGCCACGAGAGUAGGAAGAGCGGGGAACUUUCAGAGGUGAUUGGGACCAGAGGCUCCUUAUAAGAGGGUGCGCUGGGUCCCACUGCACUCCUCAGCCACCUGUUUCUGAUCCACGCUUAGAAGUGCUUAGUCCCCGUCUUGGGAUCAGAAUCGUGACACCUGCCUGCAUCUGGAUGUGGGCCUUGAGGGCUCCGGGACUGUGAGCCAAGGGACGUGGGUUAGUCUUGGUCCCACAGCAGGUGGUCCUUCUGCAAGUUGCACAGAAUCUCUUCAGAUGCGGUCACAGCCGUUAUGCCUUUGCCCGGUGCAGAUGGUUUCCAUGAGGUGGAUGCUCUGUCCUAUGCUGACGGGGUUUGCCACAUUGCAGACCAUUCAUUUUGUCACAAACUGCAAACACAGUGGCAGUGAGAGCCUACUGCGCAAGGGGCCCAUAAAGCAGCCUCUGGGGCUGCGGGAGGACGGGAGGCUAAAUAAAGUGGCCUUCCCGGUGGCAGUGCAGGGAACCAGAAGCAGAGGCACAUCUGGUGCAGUCACCACCGGGAAGGGACACCGCUGAAUCAGACUGGAUCUGCCUCCUGAGCUGGCCCAGUGGUGCAUGCUCCAGCCCAGCAGACACACUGACCAAAGGGGCCAACUCAGGCUGCUGCGGUGGUGACCCUGCCCUGGGCUGCAGCUAAAUGUUCCUGUGACAUGCAGUGGAAAGCUGGUGGGACCUGGGAGAUCCAGAUUUGAGGGUCUCUGCUCAGCUAGACGUUCCCUGAUUACCCCUGUUCCUCUGUUCCCAAGUACCCAAAGCCCCCAACUUCCUUUUCCAGCCUGAGAUCAGCUUCUGACUCUCCCUGACACCCCCCAACAUGUCACAGGCCUCCCGUCCCGCCUUACCUCCAGCGCACACUGCUCUGCCCCCUUGCAGGUCGCUCCUCAGCUCCUCACAGGUGUGGUGACAGAGCCCCUUAUUUGUCUUUGUACUGCUGCCCUUCUGAACCCCACCACGGCCACCUCACACUGAAGGCCGUUACUGCCACACAGCCGCUCUGUGUAGUGUGAGUGGGACUGAGCCAGGGUACAGCUGCCGGGUGGAAGAGUGAGUUCUCCGAGCUGAAUUCAGGCCCAGGGAUGGCUCGGUUCUUCAGUCCUCACUUAACGAACCAUCUCACCUAGUACAGGCAGCAGUCUGUCCGUCAGUCGCAGCCACUGGGCCUCAAGCACAGGGACUGUGGACUCAAACAUGCAAAAUGCUGUCCUGUCACGGGUCAGUGGCCUCUGUAUGUCACUUUCGCUUUCUGUCCACAUGCAGGGUGGACCGACACUGUCGCCCUGGAGUUCUUGGAAGCUGUUCCGGCUCUGGGCUGCCUGGUUCUGGGACCUGGUUCUGAAAGCCGAGGUGUGGGGAGGCAGUGGUGGCCGUGCUGACGGGUCAGGACAGUUUUCUAGGGUGGCGCAUAGUGAGCCAGAGCUUUCAUGGGAUGCAGAACCCAGAGGAAGUGUGUGUGUGUGUGUGUGUGUGUGUGUGUGUGUGUGUGUAUGUGCAGAGAACUCAUCUUAGGGAACUGGCAAAUCAGACAUCUGCAGGACUGGCUGGGGACCGAGGGAGGAGCUGGUGAUUCAGGGCAGACUAGAGCACUCUGGUACAGAGGUCCCUCAUCCUCAGGGACCUCAGGGCGCAGCCUGCCCUCCCGUGGACUUCAGCUGGCUGGGUGAGUUUCGCCCACGUCAGGGAGGACACGCUGCUCCACUUAGAUGGAACGGUUAGUCACAGCUAAGAGGUGCGGCACAGGGCCGUCUAGACUGGCGUGGGCCCAAGCAUCCGGGUGCCAUGGGCUGUCAAGGUCAGACUUAGAAUUAACCUCGGAGUGCCUUGCUGCUCCCUCAGCCAGUGCUCACUGAUCCUCACCACAUGCGAAGCUUCCGGGUCCGCAGCCCCCUAGAGGCAGCGAGGAGACUUGUUAGACUGAUUUUGUGCAUGCAAAGGAAUACCCACAGUCACUGAUCUGUUACAGGUGAUUAUACAAGUCAUUUCAAUUUUUUCCUGCAACUAAUGUGGUACAUUUAUUACAUAAAAAGAUUAAGAAUAAACUAGAGGCUUGGACUAUUUGAGUAUGAUUAUCUGUAUCAUUUUUUCUAAUAAUAAGACUAUAUUGGAGAUACUUGCUUAUGAGUAUGCCCUUUGUAAAUAAAUUACCUGCCAAUAGAUGGCAAAUUCAUUAACUACGAAAGCAUCCUUUUAGAACAAUGAACUUUUUGUAUUGAAAUUUUUUCUUUCCCUGAGACAGGGUCUUGCUGUGCAAUUCAGGCUGGCCUUGAAUUCAUGACAAUUCUCCUGCCUCAGCCUCCAGAGUGCUGGAAUCACAGGUGUGCACUACCAAGCCCAGCACUGAGUUUUGUUUGCUUCUUUUCCUUGUUCUUUCUCGAAGGGAUCAGUCUCACUGUAGGACAGCUGACAGUGUCAGCAUGUGUGUGUCACCAGGGUGUGAGCUGCACACGGCACAGUGGGGUUGGUCUGAACCAAAGACCUGAAGACAGGAGCUAAGGAUGCUGGUGCAGCAGUCAGUAAAAAACGGCCACAUAUUUUAAGUCAACCCUGGAUUCUCCUCUGUUUCCAGGUGGUGUGUCUGUGUGUGUCUGUCUGUGUGCAAGAUUGCUGGUGUGGAACCUGGGCCUUGCACGGGCCAGGCAAGUGCCCUAUCCCUGAGCUGCACCCACGCUCUCCAGGUAAGCUGUGUCAGUAACCCACUUUCCACCUCUGUUGUGAGGUCAGAGCUCUUCUCAGGGGAGACUUCCACACUUGAGAUUUCUCUUACAUCAGUCACAGUACGUUUACUGCAUGGUGCUGGGGUUCAUUGGGUGGCCUUGGUCCUUGGCUCUGGGGUCCUCACUCAAUCUGCAGCGAGUCUGAAACUGCUCUGGCAGUCGGUUCUGGGUGUUGGUGGGAAAUGAGUGUAAGAAUGGGGGAAGAAGCUGAGGGACUGAGAGCUGAGCUUCCCACACAGCCAGGUUCCUUAUUUAAAAUUUUCCUUAAACAUUCCAGCAAAUAUGGCAGCAUGAUGGUCCAUGUCUGUAAUCCUAGAUACUCAGGAGGCUGAGGCAGGAGGAUCACAUGAGCCCAGAAGUCGGAGGCCGCCUAAAUAACAUCAGUGAGACCCUGCCUCAAAAACAAAACAAAGCAAAAAUAAUAAUAAUAAAAAAAGAAAGAAGAAAGAAAGUCCCAGUACCAAGAAUGCCUUCUUUCUCUUGGCUUCCUUGUCAGAUCCAAAUGUCCUUCAGCGAUGAGAAUCUAAUAUUACCUUCUUACAUGUAUUAAUACCGCAUAGGUCAGGCAUUACUUCUAUUCUCCAACCAUCUCAAAAGGAGAAGUGAGCAAUGCCCUCCCCACUUUAUAAGGGGGCUGUUGCAGCUUUAAGAGUCUCCAAGAUGCAGAGCUGAGACCCAGGGUGAGUUGCCCUCCCCCCCAAUCAGUCCCCAGCCGCGUCUGUUGGAAACAGCUAUCACAUCUUCCAUAGGUGAGUGAGUAAACUGUGGUACACUACAAUGGAGUAUUGUCCAGCAAAUAAAAAAUGUGGUAUGAACCAGGAGAAGACGUGGAGAAAUCUUAGGAAGAAGAAGUCAGCCUGAAAGAGCUACAUACCAUGCGAUGCUAGCAAUAUGUGGCAUUCUGGAAAACUUAGCAAUCGGAAGAUAGCUAGCUGCAGAAGGUAGGGGGAGGAAGAAUGAGCAGGUGGACAGUGAGAUGAUCUAAUAAUGGUGGACACCGGUCAUCGCUCACUUGUGUAAAUGGUACAGGAAAGGUACCACACCGAGAGAGCUGCAGUGUAAACCUGGGGCUUAGUGAGUAAUAAUGUAUCCACGUUGGCGAGCCAGUUGUGACAAGUAUGUUCCACUAAUGCAAGAUGUUAGCAAUAGGCAGAUGACAGGAGGAGGACAUGGGACUUUCUACUAUGGGCCUAAGUUUCUGUAAAUGCAUAAUGUAAAUGUAAAACAGUUGUAAAUGCAAAACAGCUGUAAAAAAUAACAUCUAUUAACUUAAAAAGCCUCUGGUUCUUUAGCUUCAGGUCUUAUGUUAAUUAACAGCAGAUUAUUCCGCAAUGAAUACCCUUCAUAUAUAAACAAAAUAAACAUGUUCUCUAUUA